rnacentral:rRNA from 1 species
AAAUUAGAGUGUUCAAGGCAGGCUUCAGACGGCCUGAAUAAUGGUGCAUGGAAUAAUGGAAUAGGAUCUCGGUUCUAUUUUGUUGGUUUUCGGAACUCGAGAUAAUGAUUAAGAGGGACAGACGGGGGCAUCCGUACUGCGGCGUUAGAGGUGAAAUUCUUGGAUCGCCGCAAGACGAACUACUGCGAAAGCAUUUGCCAAGAAUGUUUUCAUUAAUCAAGAACGAAAGUCAGAGGUUCGAAGACGAUCAGAUACCGUCCUAGUUCUGACCAUAAACGAUGCCGACUAGCGAUCCGCCGGAGUUGUACCUAUGACCCGGCGGGCAGCUUCCGGGAAACCAAAGUCUUUGGGUUCCGGGGGAAGUAUGGUUGCAAAGCUGAAACUUAAAGGAAUUGACGGAAGGGCACCACCAGGAGUGGAGCCUGCGGCUUAAUUUGACUCAACACGGGGAAACUCACCCGGCCCGGACACCGUGAGGAUUGACAGAUUGAGAGCUCUUUCUUGAUUCGGUGGGUGGUGGUGCAUGGCCGUUCUUAGUUGGUGGAGCGAUUUGUCUGGUUAAUUCCGAUAACGAACGAGACUCUAGCCUAUUAAAUAGUUCGCCGCCCGUGAAUGGUAGCGGCGCCCUAACUC